rnacentral:rRNA from 1 species
AGCGAACGCUGGCGGCAGGCCUAACACAUGCAAGUCGAACGGCCGUAGCAAUACGGCAGUGGCAGACGGGUGAGUAACACGUGGGAAUGUACCCUUCGGUUCGGAAUAACUCAGGGAAACUUGAGCUAAUACCGGAUACGCCCUUACGGGGAAAGAUUUAUCGCCGAAGGAUCAGCCCGCGUCCGAUUAGCUAGUUGGUGGGGUAAUGGCCCACCAAGGCUCCGAUCGGUAGCUGGUCUGAGAGGAUGAUCAGCCACACUGGGACUGAGACACGGCCUAGACUCCUACGGGAGGCAGCAGUGGGGAAUAUUGGACAAUGGGCGCAAGCCUGAUCCAGCCAUGCCGCGUGAGUGAUGAAGGCCCCUAGGGUUGUAAAGCUCUUUCGGCGGGGAAGAUAAUGACGGUACCCGCAGAAGAAGCCCCGGCUAACUUCGUGCCAGCAGCCGCGGUAAUACGAAGGGGGCUAGCGUUGCUCGGAAUCACUGGGCGUAAAAGCGCACGUAGGCGGAUCUUUAAGUCAGGGGUGAAAUCCCGGAGCUCAACUCCGGAACUGCCUUUGAUACUGGGGAUCUCGAGUCCGGGAGAGGUGAGUGGAACUGCGAGUGUAGAGGUGAAAUUCGUAGAUAUUCGCAAGAACACCAGUGGCGAAGGCGGCUCACUGGCCCGGUACUGACGCUGAGGUGCGAAAGCGU